GUGGGGAAUCUUGCGCAAUGGGCGAAAGCCUGACGCAGCCAUGCCGCGUGAAUGAUGAAGGUCUUAGGAUUGUAAAAUUCUUUCACCGGGGACGAUAAUGACGGUACCCGGAGAAGAAGCUCCGGCUAACUUCGUGCCAGCAGGAGCGGUAAUACGAGAGCCUCAAGCGUUAUCCGGAAUCAUUGGGCGUAAAGGGUGCGUAGGUGGUUUGAUUAGUCUCCCGCUAAAACUUCGAGCUUAACUCGAAAAGAGCGGGGGAAACGGUCAAACUAGAGUAUGUGAGAGGUGUGUGGAACUCAUGGUGUAGGGGUGAAAUCCGUUGAUAUCAUGGGGAACACCAAAAGCGAAGGCAGCACACUGGCACAUCACUGACACUGAGGCACGAAACCUAAGGUAGCGAAUGGGAUUAGAUACCCGUGUAGUCC
rnacentral:rRNA from 1 species